GAUGAACGCUGGCGGCGUGCCUAAUACAUGCAAGUCGAGCGAACAGACGAGGAGCUUGCUCCUCUGACGUUAGCGGCGGACGGGUGAGUAACACGUGGAUAACCUACCUAUAAGACUGGGAUAACUUCGGGAAACCGGAGCUAGUACCGGAUAAUAUAUUGAACCGCAUGGUUCAAUAGUGAAAGACGGUUUUGCUGUCACUUAUAGAUGGAUCCGCGCCGCAUUAGCUAGUUGGUAAGGUAACGGCUUACCAAGGCAACGAUGCGUAGCCGACCUGAGAGGGUGAUCGGCCACACUGGAACUGAGACACGGUCCAGACGCCUACGGGAGGCAGCAGUAGGGAAUCUUCCGCAAUGGGCGAAAGCUUGACGGAGCAACGCCGCGUGAGUGAUGAAGGUCUUCGGAUCGUAAAACUCUGUUAUUAGGGAAGAACAAAUGUGUAAGUAACUAUGCACGUCUUGACGGUACCUAAUCAGAAAGCCACGGCUAACUACGUG
rnacentral:rRNA from 1 species